UACGUAGGGGUCGAGCGUUGUCCGGAGUUACUGGGCGUAAAGCGCGCGCAGGCGGCGCGAUAAGACCGGCGUGAAAGCCCCCGGCUCAACUGGGGAGGGUCAUUCGAUACUGAUCGACUCGAAGGCAGGAGAGGGUAGUGGAAUUCCCGGUGUAGUGGUGAAAUGCGUAGAUAUCGGGAGGAACACCAGUGGCGAAGGCGACUACCUGGCCUGUUCUUGACGCUGAGGCGCGAAGGCUAGGGGAGCAAACGGG
rnacentral:rRNA from 1 species